UACGUAGGGUGCGAGCGUUGUCCGGAAUUAUUGGGCGUAAAGGGCUCGUAGGCGGUUUGUCGCGUCGGGAGUGAAAAUCCAGGGCUUAACUCUGGACUGGCUUCCGAUACGGGCAGACUAGAGGUAUGCAGGGGAGAACGGAAUUCCUGGUGUAGCGGUGAAAUGCGCAGAUAUCAGGAGGAACACCAAUAGCGAAGGCAGCUCGCUGGGACGUUACUGACACUGAGGCGCGAAAGCGUGGGGAGCGAACAGG
rnacentral:rRNA from 1 species